UACAGAGGUCUCAAGCGUUGUUCGGAUUCAUUGGGCGUAAAGGGUGCGUAGGUGGCGCUGUAAGUCGGGUGUGAAAUUUCGGAGCUUAACUCCGAAACUGCAUUCGAUACUGCGGUGCUUGAGGACUGGAGAGGAGACUGGAAUUCAUGAUGUAGCAGUGAAAUGCGUAGAGAUCAUGAGGAAGACCAGUGGCGAAGGCGGGUCUCUGGACAGUUCCUGACACUGAGGCACGAAGGCCAGGGGAGCAAACGGG
rnacentral:rRNA from 1 species